AAUCAACGCUGGCGGCGUGCCUCAGACAUGCAAGUCGAACGCGAAAGGCCCCUUCGGGGGCCCGGUAGAGUGGCGCACGGGUGAGUAACACGUAGGUAAUUUGCCUUCGGGUGGGGAAGUAACAGCCGGAAACGGCUNCUAAUACCGCAUAAUGCAGCGGCUCGACAUCGAGACAGUUGUUAAAGCGGGGGAUCGCAAGACCUCGCGCCUGAAGAGAAGCCUGCGGCAGAUAGUCUUGUUGGUGAGGUAAUGGCUCACCAAGGCGACGAUCUGUAACCGGCCUGAGAGGGCGGUCGGUCACACUGACACUGACAUACGGGUCAGACUCCUACGGGAGGCAGCAGUCGGGAAUUUUGGGCAAUGGGCGAAAG
rnacentral:rRNA from 1 species